rnacentral:rRNA from 1 species
AUUGAACGCUGGCGGCAGGCCUAACACAUGCAAGUCGAACGAGUGGCGGACGGGUGAGUAAUGUCUGGGAAACUGCCUGAUGGAGGGGGAUAACUACUGGAAACGGUAGCUAAUACCGCAUACUCUCGGAUGUGCCCAGAUGGGAUUAGCUAGUAGGCGGGGUAAAGGCUCACCGAGGCGACGAACCCUAGCUGGUCGGAGAGGAUGACCAGCAACACUGGAACUGGGACACGGUCCAGACUCCUACGGAGGGCAGAAGUGGGGAAUAUUGCACAAGGGGGGCAAGCCGGAUGCAGCCAUGCCGCGGGUAUGAAGAAGGCCUUCGGGUUGUAAAGUACUUUCAGCGGGGAGGCGUUACCCGCAGAGGAAGCACCGGCUAACUCCGUGCCAGCAGCCGCGGUAAUUC